rnacentral:snRNA from 1 species
GGAUGUGAGAGUGAACUGGCAGUGACUUGGAACCCUAUUAUUUGCCAGGGUUUAUUCAGCUGACUUGACUAGCAAAAUGUGUGUCCUAUUCUUCCUUUCCCUUUGCGUGUGAAACUGAACACUCAGUCUUCUUAGCUGAGGAGGAUUUUUUUUGGUAACGGUUAUAUAUGGGUAAUUAAACUCCCCUAAUUGAAUCUCUCAAAAGAUCUUUACAAAUAAAUGUCUAAAUUUCUCACUUGGAAGUUAAAAUUGGAGAGUAAGAAGACCAAAUAAUAUAAUGGAAUAUGUCAUCAACAACAUU